GGAAUAUUGCACAAUGGGCGCAAGCCUGAUGCAGCAACGCCGCGUGAACGAAGAAGGUCUUCGGAUUGUAAAGUUCUGUCCUUAGGGAAGAAGGAAGUGACGGUACCUAAGGAGGAAGCUCCGGCUAACUACGUGCCAGCAGCCGCGGUAAUACGUAGGGGGCAAGCGUUAUCCGGAAUGAUUGGGUGUAAAGAGUACGUAGGUGGUUUCGUAAGCGCGAGGUGAAAGGCAGUGGCUUAACCAUUGUAAGCCUUGCGAACUGCGAGACUUGAGUGCAGGAGAGGAAAGCGGAAUUCCUAGUGUAGCGGUGAAAUGCUUAGAUAUUAGGAGGAACACCAGUGGCGAAGGCGGCUUUCUGGACUGUAACUGACACUGAGGUACGAAAGCGUGGGGAGCAAACA
rnacentral:rRNA from 1 species